rnacentral:rRNA from 1 species
AUUGAACGCUGGCGGCAGGCCUAACACAUGCAAGUCGAGCGCGCGGCGGACGGGUGAGAAGUGUGUGGGGACUGCCAGAUAGGGGGGGAUCACUACUGAAAACGGUGGCUAAUACCGCAUACUAGCGGAUAACACAUAUGGGAUGAGCUAGUAGGUGGGGUAAAGGCUCACCUAGGCGACGAUCCCUAGCUGGUCUGAGAGGAUGAUCAGCCACACUGGGACUGAGACACGACCCAGACUCCUACGGAGGCAGCAGUGGGGAAUAUUGCACAAUGGGCGCAAGCCUGAUGCAGCCAUGCCGCGUGUAUGAAGAAGGCCCUAGGGUUGUAAAGUACUUUCAGUCGGGAGGCGUUACCGACAGAAGAAGCACCGGCUAACUCCGUGCCAGCAGCCGCGGUAAUAC